rnacentral:rRNA from 1 species
AGAGUUUGAUCCUGGCUCAGGAUGAACGCUGGCGGUAUGCUUAACACAUGCAAGUCGAACGGUCUUUUCGGAGAUAGUGGCGGACGGGUGAGUAACGCGUGAGAAUCUAGCUUUAGGUUCGGGAUAACAACUGGAAACGGUUGCUAAUACCGGAUAUGCCGGAAGGUGAAAGGCUUGCUGCCUAGAGAUGAGCUCGCGUCUGAUUAGCUAGUUGGUAGUGUAAGGGACUACCAAGGCGACGAUCAGUAGCUGGUCUGAGAGGAUGAUCAGCCACACUGGGACUGAGACACGGCCCAGACUCCUACGGGAGGCAGCAGUGGGGAAUUUUCCGCAAUGGGCGAAAGCCUGACGGAGCAAUACCGCGUGAGGGAGGAAGGCUUUUGGGUUGUAAACCUCUUUUCUCAAGGAAUAAAAAAGAAGGUACUUGAGGAAUAAGCAUCGGCUAACUCCGUGCCAGCAGCCGCGGUAAUACGGAGGAUGCAAGCGUUAUCCGGAAUGAUUGGGCGUAAAGGGUCCGCAGGUGGUUUGUCAAGUCUGCUGUCAAAGAGUUAGGCUCAACCUAAUAAAGGCGGUGGAAACUGAGAGACUAGAGUGCAUUCGGGGCAGAAGGAAUUCCUGGUGUAGCGGUGAAAUGCGUAGAGAUCAGGAAGAACACCGGUGGCGAAAGCGUUCUGCUAGGCUGCAACUGACACUGAGGGACGAAAGCUAGGGGAGCGAAUGGGAUUAGAUACCCCAGUAGUCCUAGCCGUAAACGAUGGAUACUAGGCGUGGCUUGUAUCGACCCGAGCCGUGCCGGAGCUAACGCGUUAAGUAUCCCGCCUGGGGAGUACGCACGCAAGUGUGAAACUCAAAGGAAUUGACGA